rnacentral:lncRNA from 1 species
UCAUUAACCAUAAUGGCGAAGAAAUAAAGGUAUUCCUAACUUUUGGAGAUACAAAACCAAUAAACACGACUGAAAAACAAACAUCGCGAACUGGCGCAAACAUCAAUACAAGAAUUGCUAAUAUUCAAUCUGAAACAGUCAAAACACGGGAAUUGGAGAUUUCAUCUAAAAAUCCUUCUCAUAGUAGUACUUCUCAAACCAUCCCGCCUCAGCAAAAAUCUCCUCAAACUCAUCCAGUUGAUGAACCCCAAUCUGAUGCUCCUCAAUCAGAGGUUUCCUCCUCAAACGUCUCGCAUUCCAAUAAUACUGAUCUACCCUCCACGGGUGUUCUCCACAAAGAUUUACAACACAAUGCUUCUCACAUUGUUCAGAACCCCAGAGAUUCAACCGAGGAUUUAUCUUCGGACAGAAUUUCAAAUAUUCAAGAAGAGGAAACAAAUUUAAUUAUGGAUACUACUGGCGAGAUUUCGCAAACUACAGAUGUUCCCAAGAAAAGAAAAUCUAGCUCAUCCCCAGAAUCCGUCGAAUCGCGGAAAAAAAUUAACUCUAAAAAACAAAAUAAGAAACAAUUGACCACUCAACAGGGAAUAGAUUCAUUCUCUGAAUCUUCUGAUGAGGAACCUUUUACCUCACACUGCACCCUGCAACAUGCCAUCUCGGAAGCUGUUGAGAAGCAUAACUUUGAGAUCGAAUCGGAGGUGCUUUUACUCCUGCUGGAAGAAAUAAAAGGGAAGAGAAAGCCUGUUCCCAUGAUUAGAAAAUAUACAGAUGAUUUUCACGGUUUCAUAAAAGUUCUUUCAAGCUCAAUCACUUAUUCCCUUCCUCCAGAAAUUAAAGGAAGGUUAUCUCGUCUUAUUACCACAUUACAUGCUGCAUCAGAUUAAAGGUCAACAAAAUUUUUGUAAAAUUCCAUGCCAACAUUACUCCAGUGGAAUUUAAACAGCGCUAUCCAAAAGCGCGCUGAAUUACGAAAGCUUAUAAGAGACCAUGAUCCAUUCGCUAUCACUUUACAAGAAACCCAGCUUACUCAAAAACACAUGUACAAUAUUAAAGGCUACCAAAUACUCAGGAAAGAUUUUCUUGAAGGAAACAGGCUUGUAAUGGUGUUGCGAUUUUAGUAAAAGACUGU